GAGCAAUACCAAAGUGUUUCAAAGAAGGAUUACCUUGACUUAGGUCUGCCUCCGGCCUAAAUUAAAUCAACCUAAGUUAAAUGGAGUCUCUAUCGUUCUGCUGCAAGAGUGGAAUAUGAGACUU